rnacentral:rRNA from 1 species
AGUGAACGCUGGCGGCGUGCCUAAUACAUGCAAGUCGAACGGAGUGGCGCACGGGUGAGUAAUAUAUAGCUAAUCUGCCCCUUGCUGGAGGACAACAGUUAGAAAUGACUGCUAAUACUCCAUAGCAAGGGAUGAGACUAUAUCGUAUCAGCUAGUCGGUGGGGUAACGGCCUACCGAGGCUAUGACGCGUAACUGGUCUGAGAGGAUGAUCAGUCACAUUGGAACUGAGACACGGUCCAAGCUCCGACGGGAGGCAGCAGUAGGGAAUAUUGCGCAAUGGGGGAAAACCUGACGCAGCAACGCCGCGUGGAGGAUGACGGCCUUCGGGUUGUAAACUCCUUUCGACAGGGACGCGGUACCUGUAUAAGAAGCACCGGCUAACUACGUGCCAGCAGCCGCGGUAAUA